AGUGUAGUAGUCUAGUAGUACGUAGUACGGCCGGUUCUAAGGUAGGCGGUUCGUUGUGGUCGUGUGGUAGUAUGCCAACCGGUUGGAGAAAAAUCUGUUUUUCACCCUUUAGUUCUCAAUAGAAUGAAAUCGUGAGUUCUGUGACAAAUUUCAACAAAAAUCGUUUAUAAAACCAUCAAAGUGGCGGCCAAUACAGGAUCUCGCACCUCCAAGGAUAAUAUGCUCAAAUUUCUCACCCACAAAUUAAGAACUCAUUCUAUAAAUGAGGAUAACUAUGCAGGGAAGGCCGAUGAAGACCAUGAUUCUGGUACGGAAUCAGAUGAAGAGAUUGAUGCUCCAGUAUCAGGAUCAGGUAGGUGUAGGUAGAUAUGCCCAGCUGGACGUACAUAAUACAUAACAUAAUACACUAUUAUACGAAAUUAACAGGAACAGGACAUGGUUUUGCUUAUACUUUAUUUGCUUGCAACUGGAAGGAAGCUCACUACAAAUGCAAAUCUUCACUAAUCUGAAAAGAGUGGUCAAACUGAUACCUAUCACUCAAAAUAAUAGCCUCUCCUGUUAAAAUGUAGUUUUAGAUGUUACUUUUCAAAGAGACUUUGUUUAUAUUGAAAUCCAGACAGGAAAAUAUGCAAAUAAAAACGUAUGAAAUAUGCGUAUUAACAUGCAGCAUUUUACGGAAAAAUAUGCAUGUUUAUCUAGAAAAUAUGCAUGUAAUAUGUAAUAAUAAAACAUUAUAAACAACUCAGAAAGUAGUAUCUACUUCUACUUUUCUGUUUCUGAAGUAGUUUACUACUUCAAAAAGAACCUGGUAACCACUAUUUUUUCCAUGGAUGCUUUGAAUUUUUGUAAAAUCUUCUUUCCAAUAUUACUUUUAACGUUUUAAUACAAUGAUUCAAAUUCUUUGGAAUUUUGAGAAUAUCAAGAUAUGACUGAUAAAAAAA
rnacentral:lncRNA from 1 species